GACUAACGCUGGCGGCGUGCCUAACACAUGCAAGUCGAACGAAGCAGCAAUGCUUAGUGGCAGACGGGUGAGUAACGCGUAGAUAAUGUGCCCUCUUGCGGGGGAUACCGUUUCGAAAGGAACGUUAAUACCGCAUAAAGUCCUUAGGAGGCAUCUCUUAGGGAUCAAACUUCCGGGGCGGGAGGAGCAAUCUGCGUACUAUCAGCUAGUUGGUGAGGUAAUGGCUCACCAAGGCUACGACGGUUAACUGGUCUGAGAGGAUGAUCAGUCACACUGGAACUGAGACACGGUCCAGACUCCUACGGGAGGCAGCAGUGAGGAAUAUUGCACAAUGGGCAAAGCCUGAUGCAGCGACGCCGCGUGGAGGAUGAAGGAUUUCGGGUCUGUAAACUCCUGUCAGUAGGGAAGAGAAUGGACGGUACCUACUGAGGAAGCUUCGGCUAACUACGUGCCAGCAGCC
rnacentral:rRNA from 1 species